rnacentral:tRNA from 1 species
GGACUGGUAGCUGAGACGGCCUAGCGCCUGGUUGAAGCCCAGGAGACGGGGAUUCGAGCGCCCCCCGGUCCA